rnacentral:rRNA from 1 species
UACGUAGGGCGCAAGCGUUGUCCGGAAUCAUUGGGCGUAAAGAGCUCGUAGGCGGCUCAGUAAGUCGGGUGUGAAACCCCCAGGCUCAACCUGGGGACGCCACCCGAUACUGCUGUGGCUAGAGUCCAGUAGGGGAGUGUGGAAUUCCCGGUGUAGCGGUGAAAUGCGCAGAUAUCGGAAGGAACACCUGUGGCGAAAAGCGGCUCACUGGACCAUUACUGACGCUGAGGCACGAAAGCUAGGGGAGCAAACAGG